AGAAACUCUCAAUCUGGGAUGUACUAAUUCCUCACAUUUGCUUCAAGAGCUUCUCCACUUAUGUGCUGUGGAUAUCCCUGGCUAUUGUAAAGAGAUUGAGUUCUUGAUUUGAUUCUCCGCUUGAACGCUGUUGGUGUAUUCAACAGUCUAAGAAAGGAGUUACAGUGUUGACUGAGGUGAUUGACCCAGACUAUCAAGAUGAAAUCAGUCUAUUGCUCCACAGUGGAGGACUUUGAAAAACAUAAUUUUCUGAAAAUGUUGUGGAAACCCAAAAUAAUAAUAAUAACCUUACAGCAGUAUCAUAAAGAAUGGGAGAAAAAAAGUGUGCUAUCCCUCUCCUCCUCCUCCCCAUUUCCCUCUCCAGCUCCUGUUUUCCGGUCCUGAAAAAUAAUCCUGGAACUUAUUAAUAAGAGGAAGUCAAAUUCUACCACAAUGUUUUUAAGACACUGACUUUGAGGAUCAAGUUGAAUAUAAAUGAAGAAUGGACAUCUUGCCUGGGCUAAAUUUCAAGAGAAAUAAGUUUAAUAUUUCACCUUUGUGUAUUACAUUAGCUAUAUGCAUGAUGAUACCUAAAGAGUUGUUGUCAGAUUGUUUAAAUCAUAUUAAAGAAAUUCAAUUUCUAGUUUCCUGCGAGUUUUAACUAUGGUUAGACAUUGAAUUUUGUCAUCUAUUUUUCUGUAUUUUCUGAAAUAAUGUCCUUCAUUUUUUUACAAGAAUGAACAUUUGGAAACCAAUAUUAUACUAUUUAAAUUACCCUCACAUAGUUAUGAUGUAUCAUCUAUUUUAUACAUUAUUAUAUUCAGUUUGCUAAUAUUGUAUUAAUAGUUUUUAUGUCUAUCAUUAGGAGUAUUGGUUGAAAAAAUUCAG
rnacentral:lncRNA from 1 species